GAUGAACGCUGGCGGCGUGCCUAAUACAUGCAAGUCGAGCGAACGGACGAGAAGCUUGCUUCUCUGAUGUUAGCGGCGGACGGGUGAGUAACACGUGGAUAACCUACCUAUAAGACUGGGAUAACUUCGGGAAACCGGAGCUAAUACCGGAUGAUAUUUUGAACCGCAUGGUUCAAAAGUGAAAGACGGACUUGCUGUCACUUAUAGAUGGAUCCGCGCUGCAUUAGCUAGUUGGUAAGGUAACGGCUUACCAAGGCAACGAUGCAUAGCCGACCUGAGAGGGUGAUCGGCCACACUGGAACUGAGACACGGUCCAGACUCCUACGGGAGGCAGCAGUAGGGAAUCUUCCGCAAUGGGCGAAAGCCUGACGGAGCAACGCCGCGUGAGUGAUGAAGGUCUUCGGAUCUUAAACCUCUGUUAUUAGGGAAGAACAUAUGUGUAAGUAACUGUGCACAUCUUGACGGUACCUAAUCAGAAAGCCACGGCUAACUACGUG
rnacentral:rRNA from 1 species